rnacentral:rRNA from 1 species
GUCGAACGAGAAAGUGGAGCAAUCCAUGAGUACAGUGGCGACCGGGUGAGUAACACGUGACUAACCUACCCUCGAGUGGGGGAUAACUCCGGGAAACCGGAGCUAAUACCGCAUAACAUCGCAAGAUCAAAGCAGCAAUGCGCUUGAGGAGGGAGUCGCGGCUGAUUAGCUAGUUGGUAGGGUAAUGGCCUACCAAGGCUGAGAUCGGUAUCCGGCCUGAGAGGGCGCACGGACACACUGGAACUGAAACACGGUCCAGACUCCUACGGGAGGCAGCAGUGGGGAAUUUUGCGCAAUGGGGGAAACCCUGACGCAGCAACGCCGCGUGGAGGAUGAAGUCCCUUGGGAUGUAAACUCCUUUCGACCGGGAAGAUACUGACGGUACCGGAAGAAGAAGCACCGGCUAACUCUGUGCCAGCAGCCGCGGUAAUACAGAGGGUGCGAGCGUUGUUCGGAAUUAUUGGGCGUAAAGGGCGCGUAGGCUGUGCGGUAAGUCACCUGUGAAAUCUCCAGGCUCAACUUGGAGUCUGCUGCCGAAACUGCGGUGCUGGAGUACUGGAGAAGUGAGUGGAAUUCCCGGUGUAGCGAUGAAAUGCGUACACCUCGGGAGGAGCACCUGUGCCAAAAGCGGCUGAGUGAACCGUGACUGACACUCAUCCCCGAGAGCUAGGGGAGCCGACUGGAUUAGAUACCCUGG